rnacentral:rRNA from 1 species
UACGGAGGGGGCUAGCGUUGUUCGGAAUUACUGGGCGUAAAGCGCACGUAGGCGGACUGUUAAGUCGGGGGUGAAAUCCCGGGGCUCAACCCCGGAACUGCCUCCGAUACUGGCAGUCUGGAGGACGGGAGAGGUGAGUGGAAUGCCGAGUGUAGAGGUGAAAUUCGUAGAUAUUCGGCGGAACACCAGUGGCGAAGGCGGCUCACUGGCCCGUUUCUGACGCUGAGGUGCGAAAGCGUGGGGAGCAAACAGG